AUGGCCAUCACAGACGUAUCCGAGCCGGAUCCUGACAAGGUCAUCCCCGGUGCGGAUGGCGCUCCGCCACAACCCAUCCCGGAGUACAUCUCGUGGGUGACACGGGAUCAACACUGCCUCAGCUUCCUCCUCUCCACGCUCUCCAAUAACACACUCCUGCAGGUGCAAUUCUUGCCUCCCUCUGCAGCAGUUUGGGGCACUUUGGAGCGGACGUUUGUGACCCGAUCCAGGGCGCACAUCAUGCAGCUUCGUCGUCAACUAGCCACGAUCCAGAAGCGUGACAUGACUAUGGUGGACUACUUCACUAAGGUCAAGGGCCUCACUGACGCCCUUGCAGCCGCCGGCAAGCAGCUGGACAAGGAGGACAUCGUCAUCUAUCUCCUCACCGGCCUCGACUCGAGCUACGAUCCACUGGUGACCUCGGUCACCACGAGGGCCGAUGCGAUCUCCCUCAAUGAUCUCUACUCCCACAUGCUCGACUUCGAGAUCCGCCAUUAG
rnacentral:rRNA from 1 species